rnacentral:rRNA from 1 species
AAUACAAUGUCAAUAGUCGAACGGUAACAGGAAGCAGCUUGCUGCUUUGCUGAACAAUGGCGGAAGGGUGAAUAAUGGCCGGGAAACUGCCUGAAGGAAGGGGAUAACUACCGGAAACCGUGGCUAAUACCCCAUAACGUCCCAAGAACAAAAAAGGGGAACUUCCGGCCUCCUGGCCUCCAAAGUGCCCAAAAGGGAAUAACUUGGUGGUGAAGUAACCGCUCACCAAGGCCACCAACCCUAACUGGGCUGAAAAGAAGAACAACCACACUGGAACUGAAACACCGUCCAAAAUCCUACCGGAAGCAACAAUGGGGAAUAUUGCACAAUGGGCGCAAGCCUGAAGCAACCCUGCCCCGUGGAUGAAGAAAGGCUUCCGGUUGGAAAGUACUUUCCACGGGGAAGAAAGGGGUGUGGUUAAUAACCCCCACAAUUGACCUUACCCGCAAAAAAAGCACCGGCUAACUCCCUGCCCACAACCGCGGUAAUACCGAAGGUGCAAGCCUUAAUCCGAAUUACUGGGCGUAAAGCGCACGCCAGCCGUCUGGCCAGUCCGAAGGGAAAUCCCCGGGCUCCACCUGGGAACUGCAUUCGAAACUGGCAGGCUUGAGUCUUGUAGAGGGGGGUAGAAUCCCAGGUGUAGCGGUGAAAUGCGUAGAGAUCUGGAGGAAUACCGGUGGCGAAGGCGGCCCCCUGGACAAAGACUGACGCUCAGGUGCGAAAGCGUGGGGAGCAAACAGGAUUAGAUACCCUGGUAGUCCACGCCGUAAACGAUGUCUACUUGGAGGUUGUGCCCUUGAGGCGUGGCUUCCGGAGCUAACGCGUUAAGUAGACCGCCUGGGGAAUACGGCCGCAAGGUUAAAACUCAAAUGAAUUGACGGGGGCCCGCACAAGCGGUGGAGCAUGUGGUUUAAUUCGAUGCAACGCGAAGAACCUUACCUGGUCUUGACAUCCACAGAACUUUCCAGAGAUGGAUUGGUGCCUUCGGGAACUGUGAGACAGGUGCUGCAUGGCUGUCGUCAGCUCGUGUUGUGAAAUGUUGGGUUAAGUCCCGCAACGAGCGCAACCCUUAUCCUUUGUUGCCAGCGGUCCGGCCGGGAACUCAAAGGAGACUGCCCAGUGAUAAACUGGAGGAAGGUGGGGAUGACGUCAAGUCAUCAUGGCCCUUACGACCAGGGCUACACACGUGCUACAAUGGCGCAUACAAAGAGAAGCGACCUCGCGAGAGCAAGCGGACCUCAUAAAGUGCGUCGUAGUCCGGAUUGGAGUCUGCAACUCGACUCCAUGAAGUCGGAAUCGCUAGUAAUCGUGGAUCAGAAUGCCACGGUGAAUACGUUCCCGGGCCUUGUACACACCGCCCGUCACACCAUGGGAGUGGGUUGCAAAAGAAGUAGGUAGCUUAACCUUCGGGAGGGCGCUUACCACUUUGUGAUUCCUAUGACUGGGGUGGAAAGUUUAGGUA